AUAAAAACUAUAAAAAAGAGGAGUAAAUUUAAACUGGCUAGAAAAGAGAAAAGAAGUUUUAAGCUGAGAGCUUCUUAUAGAAAAGAAAAUUGAAGGUAGCUUUUUUGUUGAUAUAUCGAAAUUUUAGUAAAUAUAUUCGUGGAGGCCACGUUAUAGGCUUAUAAGAGAUACUAAUAAUUUUUUAUUAGUAAAUUAAGGUGGUACCGCGAAAAAUAUAGAUCCUCGCCCUUAUU
rnacentral:ncRNA from 1 species